AAAACUGAAAAAUCCCAUCUGGAGCAAACUCCAGCGACGGUGGCUGCCUCUUCUCUCUAAAUUUAUAUAUAAAUUGACACUUCUUCAACCUCAGAUUCACUCAAAAAACUCCGUCAAUUGCCAUUUUCUUUGUUGAUUAUACCUAUUAGUUCGAUCAAUUUGUCACCGCCGAUACUUUCCCCGUUGUUUUCUGUGUAUCAAUCA
rnacentral:misc_RNA from 1 species